rnacentral:lncRNA from 1 species
UUCCAUAAAACACACAUGAAUAUUAACAAGAUUAAUAUUACAUUGAUACCUUCGGCUUGCUCGAAGGUAUGGAUGCGAGAGAGUGAUUACAAUCCAGCGUGAACAAUACGACGCUACUGUUCAUCUAUUUAUAGACACGGGCCGUAGCCCGGAUAAAAUUAUAUUUAUGUCCCUAACAUUCAUUUAUCAUCAUAACACAAAACAUUGAGGACUGAAUAGUCUGUGUUCCUUUUCAAUCACCACCAUACUUGGUCUUCGUCAUCACAUCAAAACCGAAGCUCUUCGGCUACAACUUUGUCGUCCAUUCUUAUCACUUUUGGGUCACAUCUUCACCUUAUUAUAAGAGAGAAACUUCAUCCUGAAGCUAAAGCCCCCUGUAAUAAUCCAUGUCAUACUGAAAACAUAUGGUUAGUCACGUUUUUGAGGACUUUCGGAGGAAGACGGCCCCCAACAAUGUCACAUUAACCUUGAUUAGAAAAGUCAAUGUAAUAAAAAGGUAUUUAAUUAUUUCUAAAAACAUUAAAAUAAAUGUUGUGAUAAUUUAGACAAUACUAGUUUGAAGCUAAUACGAUUUGAAUGGAUUAAAUCGGAGUUGUAAUGCCAAAGUUAUGGACUAAAUAGGUUUUAUGAGUUAAUUGAUGUUAAUUUUACAUCUGGAAUUGCUUCCAGGGUUUUUUUUGCAAACUACAGGGACCUCUAUGCAAUUACCUACCACUGCCAGGACGGCGGGUUCAAUUGUAGAAAAGGGCAUGUGCUCUUAUGUAACUAUGCUCGGCCGAAGAGGUAUAAGUGAUUUCGGGCCGUUGGAUUAGAUUUGGACGACCGCCACUCAUCCUAGCGAAGGGGUACGUUGUAUUCAAUUGAGAUCGCACGAUCGCGAUUCAACCGUCCCGGUUUGGUUCUAGGGCAAUCUAAUCAUAGUCGUGCAUUCCGAAAUCUAUGACCGAGGUUUAAUGGAGGCGCGCUUCAAUCCUAACCAUUCGAUCAGAUCGGACGGUCCAUUACAGUCAAUCCCGAAGCGUUACCUGGAUCUAAUCCGAGCCGUCCCCUACACAUCACACGGCCCAGCACUCAUCUCCAUCCUCGUGCCGGUCGAACGCAGCGGCGAUAUCCGCCCGUAGCAGAGAACUCCAUUGAGCCCACCGGUCUGAUGCGUCAGUGCCUCAAAAGUGAAACCGAGGGCAUCUACACGAACCCUAGGGAAAGGCGAAUGCAAUGGAAAUUGUCUUACUAGAAACGGUGCUGUGAAGAUCCCUGUCCACAACAACAAGCAGACGGCGACGAAUUCCUUGCCCCGAUGAGCAAUUUUGGCCACGCAAGACCGCCCAUGCACGAAUGAGUCCCGAGGGCUCUUCUAUGAUCCCUCGCUGACAACCCGCAAGUGCCAACCGAGGCCGCAACGAUGGCGAGGCAGGGAUGGCUCACGGGGGUCGAUUCCCCCCACCCUGGCUCCCUGUUCUCUCUCGGCGUCGUGAUGUGUAUUGGGUCUAC